GUGGGCGUAGCUCAAUGGUAGAGCAGCCGCUUGUGACGCGGCCUGCGCGGGUUCGAGCCCCGUCGUCCACCCCA
rnacentral:tRNA from 1 species